UAGGGAAUCUUCGGCAAUGGACGAAAGUCUGACCGAGCAACGCCGCGCGAGUGAAGAAGGUUUUCGGAUCGUAAAACUCUGUUGUUAGAGAAGAACAAGGACGUUAGUAACUGAACGUCCCCUGACGGUAUCUAACCAGAAAGCCACGGCUAACUACGUGCCAGCAGCCGCGGUAAUACGUAGGUGGCAAGCGUUGUCCGGAUUUAUUGGGCGUAAAGCGAGCGCAGGCGGUUUCUUAAGUCUGAUGUGAAAGCCCCCGGCUCAACCGGGGAGUGUCAUUGGAAGCUGGGAGACUGGGGUGCAGGAGAGGAGAGUGGAAUUCCAUGUGUAGCGGUGAGAUGCGUAGAUAUAUGGAGGAACACCAGUGGCGAAGGCGGCUCUCUGGUCUGUAACUGACGGUGAGGCUCGAAAGCGUGGGGAGAAAACAGG
rnacentral:rRNA from 1 species